UAAUUAUUUCUUAAAAAAUUUAAACAUAACUGCGCUUGGCAUUUAAAUGAACUAUCCGCAUCGCGAGGUGAACAGUGAAAGGUACUGAGAACAGGAAUUGAACUUUUACUUUGGAAUUAUUUAAAAUGUUCAUUUAAAGAUUUAUAACUUCUAUUGCUUAGGAUCAAACACCGUUUGCGGAAGUAGCGGUCGUGUUACAUAGUCGGUGGUUUUCGUUUCCGAUUCGCUGACCAGUACUAUAAUGUUCUUUUCUAGGUGAAACGUUUUCCUACCCGUAUUCAGUCGAUUCACGUUUCAACCAGUGACUUUCACUGUCCGCCUGCAAACAAGUUACCAUCAUUAGUGAAUAUCUUCGAUAAACGACCAUAAUAAUUCUAAUUUUCAUAUCUCUUUGGUAUCGGAGACAGAUACUUCCUGCUACGUAAGCUUUCCCAUUGUAAAAAUGAAGAAACUAAAACGUCGGGCAGCCAAGCACGAAUACUAUACAGCGCGUAACUUGUUGCAGAACAGAUCAAGCGUGUCAAUGUUCUUCAAGUGGGUCAACAGUACAGAGACAGUCAUUUUAUAGUUACACACACAUUUGGCUGUUUCAAUCGAUGCACCGUUACAAAAAGGCAAAUCUUGACCGCAUAAUUGAUUGAUUUUUUGAAAUAAAUUUUCAAAGCGACGAAGCAAUUGAUAAACUAAUUAUAAUUCUACCGAAGGCGUUGGCUAACCGGUAAAUCUAACGCCUUCUAACGGUCUAUUCUACAUUUCUAAACAACUGUUCGUUCAAACAGAGAUUUCAGCAGAUUUUCUCUUCAAAUUUAUACUUUCUACAACGGUGCGCAUGUAAUUGGGGAUUCAAAUAUCUCUGCGACCUAUUCAUUACGGUAUUGUUGUGCUGCGCAUUUCGUAAGCGGGAUCCUGCGGACCGGAAACGCUUUCUAAUCGCAGAAAAAUGCAAUUCGCGAUAAAAGGCAUUUCAAGCGGGUAGAAUUGGGGUUACGAUAGUUGACGCACAACAGCUGUAUUAGAAAAAUCGAAGUAGGCAAAAGUCAUCGGGUUCCAAACGUGGGGGGUGUCGAAGGGGUUUAUUCUGACUGUCGUCGUGUACAAUUUGGCGAAUUUUAUAAUAUUUAAAUCGCCCGCUAUUAUUUAAUCACCCGCUCGGUUAAUCUUGAAAUAAAAAAAAAAAGAUUAUACUUCAUUUGGAAUAACGUGUACGGUGUAAAAUUUAAUUAACGAUCAAGUUCGCCGUAACAGAGACGAAACGACGUUGCAUCACUUCCUGACACGAUGACCCCCUCGGUGUGCUAUAGUAAUUUUCAGCCUCAUCACGAUGAUAACGUGUUACGUGGACGAUUACAGCAAUAGCCCGGCGGGAACACACCCAUUCGCGUUAUACUUUCGAAAGCGACGUUCAACAUCGCUGCUCGAUCGUAUCGGUACUUGCAUUGGAUUACCAUUAUGCAACGACCUCGGUAUACAUGCCUGUGUAUGAAGUAUAAGCGACAUCCUUUCUUUCCUGUUUUAAUAAAAAUUUUGUUGCUUAUUUUUUUUCUUCAGCAUACCCUUUGGCUAAUACGUUUGAAAUCCUCUGUAUAAAAUGUCUCAAAGU